GCACAGAUUUAGUAACUUCCUGUGGAGAUAAAAAAGUGAAAUAUAAUUUUCCCCAUUUUCCCCAAAACAUCUUAAAUCUGCUGUCAGAUGUAUUUUACCCACUUCUACCUUAAUGCUAUGUCUUUUCAAUAAUGAAAGCAAGGGGUGGUUAAUUACUAGAAAUAGUGAGAAUCAUUCAGUUGUCAUGAAUCUUCGUGCUGUUAAAGAACUUCAACAAUAUUUUUAUAUCUUUUAUCCAUGACUCCCUACUUGCACUUCAUAUUGCUAAUUGAAUUUCAAUUCUGCAUAAAUAUUCUUUAAAAUAAUGGGGAAAUUCCACCCUUUAAACAUCUUGAAUCACUCUUACAAUAUACAAAAGGGAGUUAAAGCAUAUUAAAACUUAAUCCUCAUUAAGUGAUUCUGAUGUUCCCUUGGGGAACUUGGAACAAUUGAUGUGGAAUAAUCAGACAGUGUGAGUUACCAUAACACUGAACCAAUUCAGUAAUGAAAAGUGGCCUGUCAUUUUAUUUUGAUAUUUUUUUAAUCUACCCUCAAGACAAGCACUUAAUUUUUCAUAAAAUGUAAUUUACUGGGCAGAUUCUUUUCUCUUUCCUGCAGAGUAGUGAAUUUGUCUUUCAGAAGCAAUGGAAAGAAAUGAAGAAAAAAAAUGAUAAUAUUAUCCCGUAGUCUCAGCUGUUUCCCUAUGUCCUAACGCAAAGAGUAGAUGGGACGUAACUGAAGCUCGUGCAAUGUCACUGAAAUCCUAUUUUUUGCUGAUCUUAAAAGUGAUGUCUGACUAAACAAGAGCCAAGAGGAUUAAAAGGAACUGACGAAUGAGGAACAAACAUCUAAAACCCAGGAACAAGCCCAGAUAAAAAAUCCCAUGAUGUCUGAUUGCAGGGACAUACAGACAUGCGAAGAUCCAGAUAUUUGCUACUUACAGGUUUUACAUCAUGUGUAGAAGGGCUCUCAGGCUCGCCCUAAGUCUUAAACAACAUGAAGACACACAACAACAGGCAAAAACAGACCUGCACUUCCCACUAAAUAUGGAAAAGACGUCAAAAGACGUACAGGAAUUCCCCACUUGUGAAAGAGCAAAACAACAACCUCGCAAACCUCAAGUAUUGUUUGCAGUCAGUGGCCGAUCCAACCAGGUCAAAAAUCCAACUCCCUUCAAGAGACAGAGGAGGAGAAGGAAAAGGAGGUUGACUGAGCAUAAAAAGAUUUUACAAUAUGGAGCUUCUUUGUGAGAGGCUUUGUUGAAUGAGAUGUGUCUGGAAAAGUCUUUGUUAUUCUUUCCUGUUAUAACAAGAGUUAAAGCAAGAAAAUUGAAGUUGAAGUGGAUUAGUUUUUAAAAUGACCCAGUUCAGUUUCAAAGCUUGCAUAAUAAGCUAAUAAAAUAUCAUGUAAGAAAUAAAGAUAAUUUGAGACAAAAGCCAAAGUAGAUAAAUGGUUGGUAAUUCAGUCAGAGGGAAAACAGAAGGGAAAUCUGUCUAGCAAAAAAAAAAAAAAACCUAUAAAGUAAUUCGUUAGUUAAACAGAGACUAUGAAACAGUCUCCAGCAUCACCCAAAAUUAUCUUUAACAGACAGCUUUCAAUAUGAGAAUUUAUUUCUUAAAGUAACUUUCUUAAAGUAACUUACAAAGUGCUUCAGUUUAUGUAUUCCCAAUAAAAUAAAUGUAUUAGUGAUGGAUGGUUUUAUGGCUGCAAUUUAUCAAGUUUUGGAGGCAUUCUUUGGUAUCCGUUUUGUCAGAUUGUUUAAUUAUUGCAGAAUGAACAAAUAAUUCCAAAGCCAAGACCAUUUUGAUGGUGAUAGAUGGGAAAGACCUGGCCAGCCCAUAUAUUUAGUGAUAAUAGUAUCUCUCUGGGUUUAUCUUGUGCAGGAAUUCAAUGAAUAAUGUCCAGUGAGCAAUUUAUAUUAAACAGAACAUGUUAAUAUUCUUACAAAUGUUUGUUAUUUUGAUGCUACUGUUUUCAAUGAGUUAAGUUUAUGGUAUUGGAGUACUUAAUAUUGGUAUUUAAUACAGGGAGAAAGUUUUAAAAUGGGAUGGGGGACUGCACUCCCUUAUUUAAUGGAGCUCCGGGUCCUUCCACACAGCCAUAUAACCCAGAAUAUCAAGGCAGAUAAUCCACAAUAUCUGCUUUGAACUAGGUUAUCUGAGCCCACAUUGCCAUAUAACCCAGUUCAAAGCAGAUAAUGUGGGAUUUUAUAUAGCUGUGUGGAAGGGGCUUCUAUGGAUCAUUGCUAUGGGAUCAUGGGCGCUACAAUAAGUGCUGGUGACUCACCAGACUAUAAAUCUUAGGCUUGUACAGCAUUGAGCCAUGGCAAUUAAAGUGGUGUCAAACUGCAUUAAUUCUACAGUGUAUAUGAAUCCUUAUGACACUGAAAUGGAAGGACCUAACCACAUUAGAGAUUCCUACAUGAACAGAAAAUUUGAACAGUCAAAUCUCUAAAAUUGCAAAAGUGUCUGUCCUGCACAGUUGUAUCUGUUUGAUGCCAUUUCAACCAGGAUCCAAAAGCUUGGAUCCU